CAGAUAGGACUCCCAUAAAUAUUUUAUUUGCAUCAAAGUGACAAUCCUGUCUGAAUGUGUAUAUAUUGAAAAACCAAGGAAGUUCAGAGACCUUAUUUCAUUCUCUUUGAUAAGAGAUUUGCUCAGAGCACCAGUGAAUUAAACCUCCAUAGAUGCUGCGUAGCGUGCCAAUCUACCUAGUUUCGCCUAUAUUCCUUCUCUUUCUCAAACAGGUGGAGCACUUCCCCUCUCCUUCUCCUUUUGUUUCGAGCACGCCAAGGGCGUGGUGGUGCUGAUCUCUGGCGAUGGUGGUGAUGGAUCUCCGGCGGUCGCAUAGCUAAUCUCUGACGGCAGCGGCGUUGCUAAUCUCUGGCUGAGGCUGUCAUUUUGUUGAGUGCAGGCAAGUGGAGGCGGUGGCGGUGCGGAUCUCUGACUGAGGCUGCCAUUUUGUUGAUUGGAGGCGAGUGGAGGCGACGGCGAUGGUGCGGAUCUUAGCAGGCGCUUCAACCUUGGCUUCAGCUAAUCCUCAAUCUUAGCUCGGGUGUGGUGUCGAUGGUGCCUUCACUGUGGUUGGUGCCUUCAGGGCAGGCAAUCUGGGGGUAACGCACGCUAGUGUAGCCGCCUCGGGUCAUUUCUUUCUUGGGGAUCUUCUCUUUGUCUCCAGUGAGCAAUCAAAUCGAAGUCGUUCGUUCUCUGUUCAUUUUGCUGUCGGUUUUGUAUGUUGCGUGGUGUUGCCCUACUAAUCUAAUCCAUUCAACAUUCAAUUAAGCCAUUCGUCUUUGGCUCGCAAGGCUGAUUGAUCUUGUAUGUCAAAAUUGUCCAUGUAGCUGACCUCAAUUCAAUCUGUCUUUUUCUUGCAAGGGGAACAAGGAUAUUCAAUGUGCGUUCUUGAUUUCUUGUCACAGCGAUCCACUUUGCUCAGUUAAGCACUGUGUCUGUCUCAAGAGAUGAAUGGUUCGGUGUUGGGAGAUAGUCAUAAUUUAGCAAUUGGCAUACCAAAGCCAAGUGGAUGGACGUGGCUCGCGGUUUGCCUUCAAGCCUGUGUUGUUGCUCAAGGAAGAGCUUCCGGCACAACAAUCAUUCCUUUGCUUUGCAUCAGAUGAAUAACCAUGUUGGGUCCAACAACAAGAAAAACUAGAAUGUGGUCUACCAAGAUCUGACCAAAGUUCUUGGUCUUAGUAGGUUUGACUCCAAGAUUCUUUCAGACGUCUCAACUGCUGUUUUGCCAUUGAAAUGCGCCAUGGAUCCUACAAAUUUUGUACAUCUGAGGACCGUGCCCUCUGAGAAUGGACUCAAACCAGUUGAAAAUUCAAGAGACAAUCCGGCACAUUUGGAACAGUAAGUAUACUGUGGAAAGUGGCGAGGAACUGAUGUUGCUAUCAAACGUAUUAAGAAAAAAUGUUUCGCUGGGAGAUCAUAGGAACAAGAGAAACUUGUGAGUAGUAUUUCCAUCAAUCCUUUCAGUCGUAUGAUCGCUUCGUCAUUCAUGCAAAAAUUUCAGUAACAACUGAAGGGAAAAACACAAAUAAGACCAAGGACUUUUGGAGGGAAGUACAGAUUCUUUCAAAGUUUUACAUCAUCCAAAUGUUGUUGCUUUCUAUGGUGUAGUGCCUGAUGGAACUGGAGGGACAUUGGCAACUGUGUCAGAGUUCAUGGUGAAUGGUUCUCUGAGGAAUGUUUUUUUGAGGAAGGACAGGUGAGUCAUACAACAACGCACUGGAUCAGUUUGAGGAACGUCAAGACCAGGAGUUAGAGUACACUAAGUAGCUGCAAGG